rnacentral:lncRNA from 1 species
UGUCACAGUCUUGGCUCACUCCAACCCCUGCCUCCCAGUUUCAAGCGAUUCUCUUGCCUCAGCCUCCCAAGUAGCUGGGAUUACAGGUACACACCACCAUGCCCGGCUAAUUUUUUUGUAUGAGAACACUUUUUUGUACUAUUUUGGAAAGAACCACUAGAUGUACUAUUAAAAGAAAAAUGCAUAUACACCUACUAUGUACCCACAACACUUAAAAUUUAAAAUUAAAAAAAAGAAAAAUGCAAAGUUCCAAACAGUAUGUAUAAUAUGCUAUCUGCUAAUUAAAAUGCUAAAAGAAGAAGAAACAGUGGACAGCAAGAAUACACACAUUCAUGUUUGCUUAUAUAUGGGUAAAGAAACUCAGGAAAGUUACAGGAGGAGCUAAUAACAGUGGUUAAUUACAAUGGUAGAGGAGAGGCUUGGCAGAUAAGGGACUCGUUUGCAGAUAUGACUUUCCUUUGUGUACAUUUCUAUAUAUUAUUUUACUUCUUCUGAAAAUGCCACAUAAUUUGCAAUAAAUGAUUCACUCCUUAGCUCCAAAAGCAAGUCCUUUAUCAAAAUGCAAAUGUUCCAGAGGGAUGUAGCCAGAUUCUGUGGACCGCCGUCUUUUUCACCCUUAAGAAUCCGUCGCUAUGAUUUCUCUUCCUCUGCUUGGAGACCUUUAGAGAGCCAGCCUGCAGCUGCUCAGAGCAUUGACUACUAAACAGCUCACAGUUGCUAUUGCUGAAAAUGCCCGGUGGUUAUGCCUUGCCUGACCAGGGGUAGCCCACAGCUGAUGACAGGCCCCCUUGCCUCAAGGUGGGACAACUUCGGUGGUGCCAUUCAUAUCCAGAGCUGCCUGGAAUCAGGCCGAGGCUGGACAUCAGCCGACCCCGCAUCUUUGCUGAGUUUAUUCCUCUGCUGUACUUCCCUCGCUUCCCUCACCUCCUUCUUGGUUUCUCCUGAGAGCCUCCCUCAAUAAAUCACUUACCCCAGAAUCCUUGUCUCAGACUCCGCUUCUAGGACCCAACUUAAGACAUUCACAAAAUAAAUCACAUUGAUGGAAAACAGAUCCCAUUCUCCAAAAUGAAUAACCAGUAGGCACUUGUGACUAGCACAAGCAUCAGCAUAUCCACAUGGUGCUAAACUAACACCAACCCAAAGCAGAUAGUGCUGGGUGGACUCGGUACAAGUUAAUAGCUCAUGGGUCUCCAUCCCCAACACCUUCAGACCCAAGGCUCCAGGGCUGCCAGCCUGAGAACCCUAAGUCAUGAUUUUGGGCACUUUGGCUGGAUUUCCUAGCAACUGGCUGAGAGCAGGACAGGUAAACAGAGUUGGGAGGAGGAAGCAAAAAAGGCUAGAGUGGACAUCAGUUGACUUUGCCUGCCAUGGUAGAGACUUUCAGUCAUCCACCAUAAUCCAUCCCCAUUCUGCUGCACAGAAGUAUUGUGGCUGAGACACCUGCUUUUCUCCACCCCUCUAGUUAAUGUGACUAAAUUCUCCCUAUGGAAUGGGAAUGGAAGGGCCAUACCCAGGCCAGUGUCUUCAGGUAGGGGCUGUGACCCUUCCACACCUGUACCAGACACAAUCAUCAUCUCACUGGGUUUUGCCAGCUUUCAGGUCUAUGUGCUGAAAGCUGCUUACAGCUAACCUCUGCAGAUUUUCCUGGCACAGGAGGCAUGCUUGGCCAGUGCACAGGGCAAGUUGGAAGGGCCCUAAUGUCAGCAGCCUUCAACCAAUGAUGGAUGGAAAGUUGCAGACAGUGUCCUAUGCAUCUGCAGUGGGAUAACUCUGAGACGUGUGCUGUACUGCCUCCUAGAGGGCCCAGGGUGAUUAAGCACCAGUUACCCACAGCAGUAACUUCCUUGAUUCUGUUCCCCACAUGGGCACUUUUCUUCCUGUCACACCUCCCCAAUCCCCUGCAGAUACUUUCUGGGAUUGCUUCCUAAACAAUCCACUUGAACUUUUUUUUUUUUUCUUUUUUUUGACAUGGAGUAUUGCUCUUGUUGCCCAGGUUGGAGUGCAAUGGCACGAUCUUGGCUCACUGCAACUUCCGCUUCCUGGGUUCAAGCAAUUCUCCUGCCUCAGCCUCCUGAGUAGCUGGGAUUACAGGCGCCUGCCAUCACGCCUGGCUAAUUUUUGUAUUUUCAGUAGAGACGGGGUUUCGCCAUGUUGGCCACGCUGGUCUCAAACUCCUGACCUCGUGAUCUGCCCGCCUCGGCCUCCCAAAGUGCUGGGAUUACCGGCGUGAGCCACCGUGCCCAGCCCCACUUGAACUUUAAUCCUUGCCUCGGAAUUGGCUUCUGGGGAAACCAAAAAUAUAUUAAAAAAAGAGAGACCAGGACCUUAAAAAGAGCCCAAGUUGUUGAGCUCCCUGCCAAGUCACCCCCAGGUAUCUCUGCCCACCAGCUUGCAUGAGCCAGAUCCUCAGUGCAGGUUUUUCCAAUCAGUCAUUUGUUCUUCCACCCAACGCUCAAGAUUUGCUUCUUCAAGACAACUCUCUGAUCAGCUGAGACCCAUAGACACCCAGCUUCUACCACACAUAUGAUGGCAUUAUCCUAGGGCAUGGCAGAGCAACGCAAGGGAAAACUCUGGGCCCCCAAGUGAUGUCAUGGAGGAGAACUCUCAACCCAGAACUACUACGUGAGAAACAACGCUCUCUCUUCUUUAAGCCAUAGGUGUGUUGGGAAUCUUUGUUACAGCAGCACGCCUGAUCUUUUGUUUUGUUUUGUUUUGUUUUAGAGAUGGAGUCUUGCUCUUUCGCCAGGCUGGAGUGCAGUGGUGCGAUCUUGGCUCACCAUGUUGGUCAGGCUGGUUUCAAAUCCCUGACCUCAAGUGAUCCUCCCACCUUGGCCUCCCAAAGUGCUGGGAUUACAGGUGUGAGCCACCGCACCCGGCCCAGCCAUGCCUUGUCUUAACUAGCAUAGCCGCCCAACGUCCACUUCUUUUGGCCAUGUUGUCCUGAUUCUGCUGGAGAAUCCCUUUCCCACUGCUCCCAGACCAGUGGUGUAGCUGACCUGCGCUCUCUCCACUCAAUUCAGGGGAGGGAGGGGUUUAGGCCUGGGCUAAGAGAGCUGCACAUUUCCCAGGGCACAGUGAUUAGUUGAGGGUGGGUCCCAGAGCCAAAUCUGCCCAAGAUCUUAGCCUGAAAGAGAAACCCUCCUGCUGAGUGACUGCACUGUGAGGCAGAAGUCCAGAGCUGUGGGUGGCCAUCCAGCCUCCAUUUGCGCCUGCCUGAGAAAGAAGCCACCAUGGGGGAAAUCGAGCUAAAAGACGGAGAGGGAGGUAAGAGAGGAUGACAUCACAUAAGCACCAGAUCUGGCCACCCCUGAAACUGGAACAACCCUAAGCUUUACAGCUACUACAUUCCCUUUUCUGCUGAAGUUGUUUUACACUGGGUUUCUGUCUCUUGCAACCAAGAGCUCUGUUAAAUAAAAACCUGACCCUAAGGAGAACGUUAGCUGGUUCACAAUUCCCUGUGCAAAACAGGCACAGGUCAGCUGCCCCAGCCUGUCGUUUGGAUAUUCCUUUCUAAGAACGCUCACUUUUGUUGUCUACAUGACCCAGAUAACCAAGGAGAAAGCAAAUCAACCGCCUUCCAGCGGCGCCUUCCUUGGCAGCAAGUGCUAAGAGAGAACACAAUGUGAGUACUCUGCCCUCUGGAGUCAGGGUUGAUCCUCAGCACUUGCUGUCCUGGGAGGCUGCACCUGUGACACUUGAGUGCCAGGUUCAACCCCUACUGCUGCUGCUGCUGCCUGAAUGGGGCCAUUUAGACUGUUGAGUGCUACAGCCUCAGCCCAGGAACCCGGAGCUUCACAUGAGGCAGAGCAGGGCCCCAGGGUCCCUGAAACUUGCCAGUUCAAACAGCAGAGGGGUGAGGACUCCCCAGUCAGCCCUGGUCUCAUACCUGCCUCUGCAUGGUCCCAGUCCAGCCUGAGGCCUUUGCUUUCUUUUUUGAAGGGAAGGUGAGGAGAGAGGGGGAAAAUAGAGGUGUUCUGACUAGACUUAGGAUUCCUGGCCUCUGCCUCUGACCGCCAGAGGACAGCCUCUGCAGUUGCCUCAUCUACUCAUGAAAACAGGCCUGUGACCCCAGGGGUGCUCUGAGGAUUCUUCCAGAAAACAUCUGCCCAGCUAGGACUACCUAGCUCACUGCCCAAAAAGGGUUCAUUUCCUUUCCUUCUGAAACAAAAGCGCUUAAUUGGAAGAGAAGCAUUGACUCAAGCUAUAGGAUAUGCCACUUAAAAUGUCCAGAUCUUGGCACAAGGCCUGGCGCACAGUGUGGGAGAGAAGGAGAGAAGAAGGUGGAAGGAAAGGAGGGAGGGGAAAGAGGAAGCAGGGAGGGAGAAAAUAAGACAAGGGCCUCCUCAUCUGGAUGCUUCCCUAGACCAAGAAGUGGCCCAGGUGGUGCCCAGGGGACAGGGAGUGGGCAAUAAAAGACAAUGGGGUGUAGGUGAUAGGGUGUAGAUGAUCAGGGUAUAGGUGAUCAGGAUGUAGGUGAUGGGGUGUAGAUGACUGGGGUAUAGAUGAUUGAAGUGUAGGUGAUGGGGUAUAGAUGAUCGAGGUGUAGGUGAUGGGGUAUAGAUGAUUGAGGUGUAGGUGAUGGGGUGUAGGUGAUGGGGGUCAAGGUGAUCAAGGUGUAGGUGAUGGGGUGUUGGUGAUUGGGGUGUAGGUGAUCAGGGUGUAAGUGAUGGGGUAUAGGUGGUGGGGUGUAGAUGAUCGGGGUGUAGGUGAUGGGUAUAGGUGAUGGGGUAUAGAUGAUCAGGUUGUAGGUGAUCGGGGUAUAGGUGAUCAGGUUGUAGGUGAUGGGGUGUAGAUGAUUGGGAUAUAGAUGAUCGAGAUGUAGGUGAUGGGGUAUAGAUGAUCAAGGUGUAGGUGAUGGGGUAUAGAUGAUUGAGGUGUAGAUGAUCAGGGUGUAGGUGAUUGGGGUAUAGGUGAGCAGGGUGUAAGUGAAGGGGUAUAGGUGGUGGGGUAUAGAUGAUCAGGUGUAGGUGACUGGGGUUUGGGUGAUGGGGUGUAGGUGAUGGGGUAUAGAUGAUUGAGGUAUCGGUGAUGGGGGUCAAGGUGAUCAAGGUGUAGGUGAUGGGGUGUUGGUGAUUGGGGUGUAGGUGAUCAGGGUGUAAGUGAUGAGGUAUAGGUGAUGCAGUGUAGGUGAUCAGGGUAUAGGUGAUGAGGUGUAGGUGAUGGAGUGUAGAUGAUUGAGGUGUAGGUGAUGGGGUAUAGGUGAUUGGGGUGUAGGCAAUGGGGUGUAGGUGAUCGGGGUCAAGGUGAUAGAGGUGUAGGUGAUGGGGUGUUGGUGAUUGGGGUGUAGGUGAUCAGGGUGUAGGUGAUGGGGUAUAGGUGAUUGGGGUGUAGGUGAUCAGGGUGUAGGUGAUUGGGGUGUAGGUGAUCGGGGUGUAGGUGACCAGGGUAUAGGUGAUCAGGGUGUAGGUGAUCAGGAUGUAGGUGAUGGGGUGUAGACGAUCAGGGUGUAGGUGAUGGGCUGUUGCUGACCAGGGUGUAGGUGAUCAGGGUGUAGGUGAUCCGAACUUCCUACUCAAUUCAGGCAACAGCUCCCAGCCUGAGGCAAAUACCCCCCGAGGCAGUCAGGGUCUCACCUCCCAUGGCUCUGACGCAGGCCUCCAAGGUGAGGAGAUGGAGGUAGCAGAGGUCACUUCACUCAGCUGUCACACACCCUGAGGGAACUCCUGUCACUGUUAUCCCACCUGCAAGUGAGGAGCCAGCAUUUCUCAUGCUCCAGGGUUGGCCACAGAGCCCAUUCAAGGGAGGGAGAAGAGCCUUCGGCCAGCGCAUCCUAACCGCAGAAAGCCAAGACCUCUGCAGAAAAAGAGACCAGGCCCAUAAAAAGAGAUCCAUGAGUUGAGUUCCCUGCCAUGCCACCCCCAGGCAUCUCUGCCCACCAGCCUGCAUGAGCCAGCCCCUCAGUGCAGGUUUUUCCAAUUGGCCGUUUGUUCUUCCACCCAACACUCAAGAUUUGCUUCUCAGCCUGGACAACAUAGCAAAACCCCAUCUCUACAAAAAAUACAAAAAUUAGCUGGGCAUAGUGGCACACACCUAUAGUCCCAGCUACUCGGGAGGCUGAAGUGGGAAGAUUACCUGAGCCUGGGAGGUCAAGGUUGCAGUGAGCCAUGAUCAUGCCACUGUACUCCAGCCUGGGUGACAGAGUGAGAACUUGUCUCAAAAACAAAAAAAGAGAGGAAGAUCUGCUUCUUCAAACCCACACAACUAAUAUAAAGUAAUCAACCUCCCCACCUCAAUAACCUGAAGUUAAACAUCACACAAUAAGCCCUGAACAGAGAGCUGUAGGUCAAUGUUCCAUUUUGCUUUUAAAAGCUUCACAAGAACAUUUCAUUUAUUAAAAUAGUUUCUGUAAACUCUUUCAGAAUAACAAAAUUCACUUGCCUUGCUUAAACAGCAUUUCAAGUAGAAGUAUUUUUAUUUCAAGGCACCAUAAAAUGAUGAUCUCUCUAAGAAAUACCUCUCCUUC